rnacentral:rRNA from 1 species
AUCCCUUGACAUCCUGCGAACUUUCUAGAGAUAGAUUGGUGCCUUUGGGAACGCAGUGACAGGUGCUGCAUGGCUGUCGUCAGCUCGUGUCGUGAGAUGUUGGGUUAAGUCCCGCAACGAGCGCAACCCUUAUCAUUAGUUGCUAACAUUUAGUUGAGAACUCUAAUGAGACUGCCGGUGAUAAACCGGAGGAAGGCGGGGACGACGUCAAGUCAUCAUGGCCCUUAUGGGAUGGGCUACACACGUGCUACAAUGGGGGGUACAAAGAGCAGCCAACUGGCGACAGUGCGCGAAUCUCAUAAAACCUCUCGUAGUCCGGAUCGGAGUCUGCAACUCGACUCCGUGAAGUCGGAAUCGCUAGUAAUCGUGAAUCAGAAUGUCACGGUGAAUACGUUCCCGGGCCU